ensembl:lncRNA
GUACAUUUUAGGUAUAAAAUACAGUUACAUUCAGUCAUUGGGAUCUUGUACCUUUACAUGGUUAUCUUGGAUCUUAUUUUUUCCCCCUUUCCCCUGCCCUCCCUUCACCCCCUCCACCCUUCCCUAUUUGCAAAGACUUUGUUUCCACUUUUUUCCUUUUCUCAUAUUUUUUCUUUUCCCUUCUUCCCUUUCCCCUACCCCUCCCACUUCCCCUGCUCCUUUAGACCUUUUCUUCCUACUACACAAUAUCAAUUAUACAUUUUAAAAAUUACAAUAUCAAGAUCUAGGAGACAUCACCACAGAUUUUACAGAAAUUAAAGGGAUAUAGAAAGCAUAUUACAAAAAUCUUUUUUGAAAUAAAUUUGACAACUUCUAAGAAGUACCGUGGAAGACAAAUUAAUGAAACUAACUCUGGAGGAAAUAUAAAAUUUGAAUUGCACCUAUUAAAGAAAGUAUAUUCCUAGCUUGAAAACCUACCUAUAUGAUAACAACAGGCUCAUAUACAUUUUAACUGAUAAAUUAUAUCAAACAUUUACAGCAGAAAAAAAAAGGAACACUUCUCCCCUCAUUUUAGGAAAUCAACAUUGUGCUAAUACUAAAACUGGAUAAAGAUAAUAGAAGAAAAAAGUAUGAACAUAGAUAGAAAUUUGUUUAAUAGAACAAACUAUUAGAAGUCAGAUCUGGCAGUAUGUAGAAAGUGGUUUUAUUAUAGGGAUGGCAGUGUGAUUCAGCAUUGGAAGAUCUACCCCCAAAAGUCAUCAUUUUAACAGAGGAAAGGGAAAAGCCAUAUGAUCCUGUCACUAGUUGGAGAAAAAGUAUUGGACUAAAUUCUACAGCUAUUCAUGGUAAAAGCUAUCAGGACACUAGAAGUAGAACAGAACCUCUUCAACAAAUCAAAGACAUGUUCUCCAUACUUCCAGAAAAAAUGCCUUAUAUGAAUGGAGAAGAUACAAUGCUUUCUCCCUAUGGUGGGGAACAAGGGCAGAUAUGCCUACUCUUCAUCUGUCCAUUAAACUUUGAAACAUAGGCCCAAACCAAAAUUGUCUGGCAAUAAAAAUAAACAAAUAGCAUAGGAUUGCCAAGGUAGAAGUAAAAUAUUUAUAUGUAGAUGAAACAAUCAUCUACAGAGAAAAUACUAAAAAAUCUCUAGGAGCCCCUAGAACUUGUAUUUGAAUUUAGCAGGAUUAGAAAACAUAAGGUACAUAUAAAAAUUUAGCAGGAUUAUAAAACACAAGGUAUAUAUAUGUAUACUUGCUAUAAAUGAAGAAUUGGAUAUUGAAAUUUAAAAGUUAUGUAGGAGUACAAAGGACCUAGAAAAGUAAAAGGAAAAAGAAAAAGAAAAAAAAACAGUGUUGGAAGACAUUUAGUACCUAAUUUUAAAACUUCCUCUAAAACUACAGCAAUCAAGGCAGUAUUGGUGUAAGUAAAGGCAUAUGUAUCAUUGGACUAAAACUGAGAAUCUAGAAAUAGAACCACACAUAUAUGGUCCACUGAGUUUUGAAAGAUUAUUUAACAUUAACAUUUUAUAAAACAUAAACUCAAUUCAAGAGCAGAGGAAAAGUUGUUCUAAAAGUUGCUAAUAAAUAAAGAUAUAACUGGGGGAGGAUGAAGGAAUAGCUAACAAGCACUUUUAUGUAGAAGUAAAAAAAAGGUAAGCAGUUAAAAUUGUUGAAAUUUGCUUUCUUUUGAAAGAGGGAAUGAGAAGGUGCAACAGGAGACUACUGUUUCUCAUUAUAAAACUUUUAUACUGUUUAAUUUUUAAAGCCAUUUCAAAUUAAUACUUUCAUUAAAAUUAAACUUUACCCUGAACAUUAGAAACUAUACUAUUUCAACAAUAGUGGGGGGAAAUACUGGUUUUUACACUUAUGUCAAUGAAAAUAAAAUGACCUGGAUAGUGUAGAAAAGACUAAUAGCAAAUAAAAGUUGUGAUUAAAAAAUGAUGGUGAAUGCUUAAACUUUCUAAAAAAAUUAUUACAAUAAAAGAUAAAUUAUUCUUAAUCCCCCUCAAAUUAUUCCCCUUUGCUUUAAACACAUUUAUUCCAUUAUUCUUGCCACUUGUGCUUCAGAAAGUGGUAUAGACAAUGGGAUAAAUUUGUUCACAGCAGCCAGGUUUGGUGGAGCAUGCUGCUAAUCCUAGCACUCUGGAAGAGUAAGGCAGGAGAAUUGCCAAUUCAAGCCCAGCUUGGGCAACUUAACAAUUUAAUGAGACCCUGUUCUCUAACUAAAAGAUAACAAAAGCUGAGGACAUAGUUCAUUGCAAAAGUCUUGAGUUCAAUCUUCAUUACCUCAAAAAAUUUGUAUAUUUAUAUUCAAAGCAAGGGACAGUAUUUUGAGGAGGAUUAAUGGCAAUGCAUCUUUUACUGUAAUAUUUUCUUAAUUUAAAUGUUCACCAUGUAUUUUAUCAUACCGUUCUUUGGAUCAUUUUCUCCAGAAAUAUAGUUUCAUUCAGAUGGACGUUACUUGGAGAACCUACCUCAGAAUGGUGACCUUCACUGUGGAAGAAACACUUAAGGGUUGAACUCUGCAGAGUUGUACUGCAGGUUCCAGCUGCCCUUCCCCUGAAGAUAGUCCUGGUCCUGAUGGGAGGUGAAGAUGACUCCAGCUUACCCAGUACAGUGGUCUGGUGGUCCGAUGUCCUCUGCGUCUUUGUAGUGUGGAACCAGUUUCCUCUACUGCAUAUUUCUGCCAUGAUGUGCUGCCCUCAGUCUUGGACUGGAACCUCCAGAACUAUCCAGAAUGGGAGAGAUGGAUACCCUGGUUUCCUGCUUUGUAAAUGGCCCAUCCUCAUUCAGCCCACCUGAUACAGGCCUCUCCUGCACCUCCAACCUCCGUCAAUCUGGAGACAGUAAGUUGGCAGCAGUCUUCAUGUCAGAAUUUAAUGCCUUCAGUCCAAGUGCUGGGAGCAUAUGACACAGGGAGAAAAGCAUAUCCCUUUCUCCCCUUCCCAAAAUAUGGGGAGAAAAACAAAUGGUCUCCCUCUUAGAAUAUUGUACUCCUCUCAUUGUGACUGACUCCUCCUUCAAUCACUGAUGAAAUCAAGAUCAAGAAGAUCAUUAAGGAUAGGGGUAAUUUGUUUGAACCACAUUCAUACUCUAAGGGCUGCCUGUGUACCUGAGUGGUCAUAAUUGCAGACUUGUUGAAGACUUGGACUCGUAGCUCCCUCUCAGACAUCCUGCGUUGGACACUUGGGUGUGGGCACAACAACCAGUUUCAAGAGAUUGUCAGGUCAUUCUGCUGGUGCUGAUCUGCUAAAAACUGCUGCUGAGAAUACUUGGGACUUCUUAUAGCAUAAGGGCUCUAUAAAAAUGUGCCAGGAAGUAAAGAAAACCAGUCCACUAUCACAUGGCUCCAUGUUGGUUCAAACAGAUAUGAUUUUUCACUAAGCAACUUAAUUUUUUCUCACUUACUACUUAACUAAAAGAUAAAUGGCAGUAAAUUUACUAUUACUUUAGACAAGUUAUAAAAUUAUAAGCCUACGGAAAGAAAUUUAAAAAGAGCCUAACUUUCAUGGAAGAAAAAUGGAAAGUAAGAAAGAACAGCCCUCAAUCAAUUAAUUGCAACUCAAUCCAAAUUUAACAAAUAUUUAUAGAAGUAUCAUUAUAAGCUACAGUGUAUUAGAAAUCAUUGAAUGAACAAAUAAUACUAUUUGACACCAUUGCUUCACAGAUCCGAAAAUAUUCUCAGAAGAAGUGUGUGUGUGUGUGUGUGUGUGCAUGUGUGUGUGAAAGGUGGCCCCCAGUGACCUCCGGGGGAGGACAUUAGUGAGAACUAGAAACAGAAACCUGGGAUGUAUUAGUCUGAAGAGUGUAGGAAAUGAGGAAAUAGAGAUAACAGAAAUUAAACAUGUCUACCAACAGGAAAAUAAUAAUCUCACACUGUGUUGGGUUAAUUAAUAUGAAUUUAGUAUACAGAAUCAAUAGGAAGGCAUGAAGAGUAGAACAAGAUUAAACAUGAAAAAGUACUAAGAAAUCUAUUUUGGUCAUCUAAGUAAAGGGGGAUAAAAGCUUGAGAAGAAUCCAGACUAGACCAAAAAACUUCAUAGUAGAUACUAUAAUUAAGUAAAUAUGUAAUAACUAGAAAAUUAAUUUUAAAACAUGGGCAUUAAUGGAGUUCAUGGUCAAAAGCAUUCCAUUGAAAAGACCUUUUACUUAAGUUCAUUUUAAAUAUAAUUUUGUUCAUACUGGUAAUUUAUGUUAUGGAGUUAUAUUUAGUAUCCCUCAUCUCAUGCUAAAAGUGCAUUUGAUCAUUUUGUACACAAAGAUAAAACUACAUACAAGGCUUACCAUGGCUUAAUGACCACAGAAACUUUUAUUUCUAGAGGUUUAUGAAAAUGUGAUCAUGAAAACAAAUGAGUGAUUGAUUUUUCUUUCACCUAAAUAUCAUGGCAGUGAAUGCCCUUGAAUGUGUUCUUUUAACAUCCACCACACAAGCAUUAUCUACUUAUAUAGAUUCAUUGAUGAAGAAUAGUAUAUGACCUAUAAUCUUUUAACCUUUAGUGGAGGUAUAAUAAAAGAUAUGAAGCACAUCAAAAUUUUAAGGCUUUAAGUGAGAUAUUGUGACAUUUUAGAAAUUUAUACAUACAUAGCCUCCAAAAAUACUUGUAAUCCUAAUCCCUGAAAGCCAUCAAAUAAUCUUAUUUUAAGAUGCAAUUCCAUUAAAGAUCUCAAGAUAAAAUCAUCCCGGAUUAUCUGAGUGAUCCCUAAAUCCCAUAUCCUUAAAAGAAAAAGAAGAGAAGACUGAGAAGAGGAAGGGGCUAUGUAAGAAUGGAGUAGAAACUGGAUUUAGAUGCCACAAAUUGAGGAACACUUGGAGCCCAAGAACCUGAGAGGGAUGGCAGAUUCUCCCAUAAGGCCUUUCUGGGGAGGGCAGCCCUGCAAAGCCUUCACCUCUGACCCCCAGAAAUGGGAAAGAAUAAAUAUGUCUUGCUUAACUCACUAAAUUUGUGAUAUUUCUUAUAGCAUCUACAGAAAAUAAAUACAUAUAAUAAUUUUUCAAAUCUGGCAUACAAAGUAUAUAAACUCUUUGCUGACAUUCAUUCAAAUGCAAUUCACUCAUCCUCAUCUGGAUUGAAAUUUGCACUGUGUCUUUUUUCCCUUUACCUCUAGUCCUCUGUUGAGGCAAAUAGAUAAGAAAGAUGCCCAAAGCAAUUUUCAGGAGAAUUUCCUUAAGCAAGGAGAGUGCAUAAGAUUGUACCUUAUAACUUUAGCUAAAAAAUCUGAAGCAAAGGAUAGCAAAGGAAAUGGACCAAGUAUCCGCACUCUGUUUUCCCUCUGCAGGACUGGGUUUACUAUUUGUUCCAUAAAAACAUUGAGGCUUUUUGUGAUACAAAUCCUAGGGAAAAAGAAGAUGAACAUCAGACUUGCUAGAUUAUUCCUUCUGUGAGGCAAUUUUUUUUGUCAUUAAAUAUAGAUGUAGGGUAUUUACUAAUAAUCACCAAUAGUAUUUGGAAGACUAUCUCUGCCCUUUACAGUUGUCUUGACUUUUUUUUAAACAAAGUUCUGAUAUAGUUAAAAAGAAAAUGUUUAUGAUGAGAAAGAAGCAGGGUGAAAGAACCAGCAAAUAAUUCUUAAAACAUCACCAUCCUGUGGGACCAUUAUAUACAAGUAAUGACGACACAAAUGAAAGAAAAGCCCAAGCCUGGACCAGCAUGUGGGUAGAAGUGUCCCCAUACCUAUGGCGUGGAUGGCUCAACAACACGGCACCAUUGGCAAAUCACAGGCACAUUCCUUUCCUUGGCUCUGUAGUCAAGAGACACAGUGAUGCCCACACAAGCACUUCACACUGGGGCCAGUCAUGGCAGGGAAAGGAUGGUGCCUCACAGAUGCCUUUGCCAUGUGACUUGUCACCAUGGCAGCCCCAUUCAUUUGGGUUAGUGGCAAAGUUUCCAACAAAUUUAAUUUCAAAAAAACCGAAACAACACAAUGCACACCACUCCUGUACUGGAUUUACCUGGACUGAGAUGUCUGGAUUUGCUUCAUCAGACCCUAACAUACUUUUAUGAAGGGAAACUGUAGCAUUUUUUCAGAUUUCCAUUUGGUGUGAGACUAAGCCUCUGGGACAUGGUAGGAGGGUUCAGUACCCCAUAGAAGAGAGAAGACUGGAGGGGAAGCCACGGAGCCUGACUAGAAGGGAGGACCUCACUCGCGGUGGUUCUCAGAUCCUCACCAGGAAAGGACUGGGAUUCUUCAGGACACUGGCAGACGUAAGUGCAGCACACACAAGGGUUCAACUUUCAAUAUUUGCAGGAACUCCUGAGAAGCCCCUGAAAGUUACCUUUUGCCACAUCCAUAUUUUUCAUGCUAAAUAACUUCCCUACAGAAUAUGCACAUAAAAAUCAAAUGUUGCUUAGAGGGCUAUCAUGGCAAAUUUGUAGGAAAAUUGACCCACCAAGAGCUCAUAAUGCUAAGUGAAACAUAUCAGACACAGAGGUUAAGUAUCAUAUGGUUUCUUUCAUAUGAAGAACCCAAAGUAUAAAUAAUUUAAAAGUAAAAUAGAGGAUAAAUGACAGGAAACAGGGAGAUAGUCUACGUGGAGAUAGGAAGGGGAUCUUAGGAUGGGGAAAACAGGAAGGAGGGGACUGGCAGAGGAAAUAAAGAAGGAUCAAGAUGUGACAAGUAUAUAUACCAAUGCACAGUGAAUGUAUUUAUUAUGUAUUGCAAACAUUAAUACAAAAAUAAACAUCAAUAGCAUCCUUUUCUUCACUUAUUUUAAUUCUAAGGGCACAAUCUGCUGAUCAUUAUUUUUCUUUUUUCUUUUAAUCAGAUUGAUUCAUAAUCAAGAAAACUCAGUUUGUAUGUACAUUGGCCUGCAUCCAGGAAUAUGUCCAACCUGCUUUACCAUUACACUGUUGGGAGUAAAUCCAUGAGAAUAAUACUGCUGUAACAUGAAAGGGAAAACCAAUGUGGCAGGGUGACUGUGUGGGGGACCUGAUCAGAUACAAGUGUGACCAUGUCCAGGCUGAGCCCAUUCUGAAACAACCAUGGACUAGAUCUAGAGUCUUAAAAAUGUCCUUUUUGUUCAGUUCUGGCGAUUGAACCCAGGGGCUUCAGACAGAGCUACAUCCUCAGAUAGACAGACAGACACACACACACACACACACACACACUUUUCUUUGCCCAAACUGGGCUCAAAAUUACAAUCCUCCCCCUACCACCCAAAGUACUGGGAUUACAGGGGUGUGCCACCAUACCUAGCUAAAAAUGUCCAUUCCUUUUGACCAUGAAUAAAAUUCUAUGAAUACAUUUUUCAAAGGACCACAGAUGUGGGAAAAUAUUUAUGUGCCUGUCUAUUUAUUUUGGCUGAUUUAUAAUAGCUUUGUCUUUACUAAUAGGUGGAUAUAAAGAUGCAUAAAUAAUGCACAAUCAUAAUUUUAAAUUAAAAUUUAAAAAUUGAGAGAAUUAUAAAUGAUUUAUUACAUAUUUUAUAAAGAACUAGAAGAGAAGACCUUGACCAUUUUCGGCAUAAAACAAUAAUAAAUGUUUAAGGAGAUAGAAAUGCUAAUUAUCCUGAUUUGAUUGUUUAUACACUAUAUUCAUAUAUCAAAUUAUCACACUGUAUUGCAUAAAUAUAUACAAUUAGUAUAUGGAAGUUAAAAUAAAAAUAUAUAAAAAUGCUUAUGACAUAAUGGUACAUGAAAUAAGUCAGUAAGCUAAACAGUGUUGUCUUGAUUCCCUAUGAGCACAAAACACAUCUAUGCAUGAAUCUAAAUUGCAUGGAAUGAGAGUAGUUACUUGUGGAUGCAAUGUAGACACUCUUAUUUCAGCCUCUCUUUUUUGACUUUUAAUAUUUCUAGAAUAUAAAAUAAAUACCUCUCACUUUUAUAACCAGUUAACUCAUAUUGAAUUUAAGCAGAUGUUUUUAUUCAAAAUAUUUUGCUGCUGCAUGGAAAAAUAAAGUCAUAUACUUUACUUCCAUCUAGUGGAUGCAGGAGAAAUUACAAUUUGAAUCUAAAAGUUUUCCUUAAUAUUUUAAAACUUAAAAAAAAAAUGGAGGCAGAUGAGAAUAGGAGCAGAAGAGGAGAGGAGAAGAGAAGAGAAUAGAAGAUAAGAGAACCACAGGGAACACAGCUAUAUAAAAUACUGUACACAAAGCCCCAAAACUUGAUAAUUUAGACAAAAUGGCAUCACUAUGGCUUGUACAGAUUAUGCAAUCUGUUUUGAUAACAAUCCUUAAUUUGGCUUUCAUAACUAAUAUUGGAUUUCCUCUCUUCAUCCACAAUCACCAGUGCCCACCCCUCCCAUCUGUACCUGCAGCUCCCACUGGUUCUCCCUGCCCUGAGGGACAAACACUAGGGCACUUCUGAGCUCCUGUCUGGAUUGACCCUUCCCAAAGGGGGACUCGGCCCUCCUCCUACCUCCUUCAAAUAAAUUCUUCUCCCUGACCUUGUGGCCUCUAUGACUUUUCUUUGGAGAGUUCUCUCUGGUCCUUAAAAAGAGUAUAUCUGCAUCCUAACAUGUAUCUUGAAAACCUAUUAGGACUUUAUUUUUUAUUUUUUAUUUUAACAUAAUAUAACUAGAUAUUAAUAAAAAAAUAUAAAAGCUGUUCUAAGAAAAGAUAAUUUUUCAUAACAAAAAUAAUUAGAGAAUAACAAUGGUAAAUACACUGUGUAUCAUGAUAUUAAAAAUAUGAUAUUUUCAUUUGCUAAUCUAUCUCAAUGCAUUUCCUAAUAAUACUGUAACUUUUGUG